rnacentral:lncRNA from 1 species
CAAUCAACUAAGGCUGUAAACACAAAAUUAGCCUCCACUGUGUUUGAAAAUAAAUGAGCAGUAAUGUUUAUUUGGAACUAUGACGCCACAUGACUGCCCACAACUAGGUUUCAAUUUGAUAUCUGGUAGCCGGUGUAGGUCAUCCAUUGUGGUUCCUGGUGAUUGGUUAUUCUUGUUGAUUGUUACAGUCAAUAUUAAAUGAUCAGGCAGUUUAGGUGACAGUAGUGGUCGGCUAUAGUGAUUGAGCCUGUUUUUUUUUUGGGUACAAUAGCGAUUGAACCUUUGAUUAGAAAAGAUGGAAGGUAAUUGAAUAUGGUCAAGGUGGAAUCAUGCAAUCAAGCUUGGAUGCAUGGCAAUGACUUAAUAAGUCUUGCAUAUGUGAGAACAUGAGAUGAAGCAUCGAGUUAUUUACUUAAUUGGAGUCUGCUUAAGCUUCUUAGCCAUGCAAUGAACGGAUGGUCAAAAUGAUCAGAACUUCUCAUUCUUUUCUAAUCAAUUGAGCCUCCCCAAGGUUGCAGUCAUUCUCUGGCCCCAAGAACCAUCUUGCUCCCCCAAGUGCUGCAUACCAGAAAGCGAAUCUGCCUACAGUGAAUGACAGGGUCCUGGUGAUUCAGAAUAUUGUGGGGAAUCAAGUGUUGAAAAUGCUAAGCCCAAAGAAACCACCUAUUCUAGACACAAAAUGGGGU